AUUAUGCAGGUUAUUCUAUGUUAUAAAGACCAUUAUAUUGGACAGUGGUUAAAUCUGACAGUUCUCUGUUUUCUAUAUCUUUGGUUACUGCAGACAGUCCCAACCAUGUGACAGUUCAAGCCAAUCCUGGUCUUGAUGUGAAUGAAAAUGGGUCGUUGACACUGAGCUGUUCUGCCGAGUCCAACCCACCAGUGAGCUCUGUCACCUGGAGGAAGACGACUGAUGGGAGAGAGGAAAUCAUCCAACAGACUCAGACUCAGACCUUCAGGGUGAAUUCAGCCAGUCCCUCUGACAGUGGACUGUACAGCUGUGAAGCCACCAAUGACAUUGGAAGUGGAAAGUCACAGCCAGCUGAGGUUAAAGUCAGAUUUGCACACACACACAUCAUGGAGUCGGCAGAAAAGCAGGAGCUUGACGGGAGGAGCUCCGUGAUGCUGAGCUGCUUCAGUCACAUCUUUCCCCCAGUCAAACACUACUCAUGGUACAGGAGGAGUCAGGGAGAGGAGAGGAUGGAAAUUGUGUCCAAGCAUCAAAACCACACAGUGUACUCAAACCAGCCAGGAGUCUACUACUGCAUCGCACAAAAUGAAGUAGAUCAUGCUUUGUCUGAUCCCGUCCAUCUGUUUGAACGAAACUAUCUGGAGAACCUGAGGUUCCUCAUUGUUGCUCUACUUCUCCUGAUGAUUAUCAGUGUAAUUGUGGUAAAUUUAAGGUGAAUGAAUAAGAAGUGCAUUUGAUCAAAUUAAAUAAAUACAUUUCAGAGAUGGUCUGGCUUGUUAUACCACAUCAUGUCCCUCUAUGUUUUCAGAUACUGGAGGAAAUCUGUUCAACAAGGAACAACAAACAAUGAAUCCCCUUCUGGUUUUUUGGUAAUGACACAUUUGUUUGAUCUUAAAAAUCUAUUUCUAAUUGACUAUUUGAAUAUUGGAAAUCAUAGCAAACAGUGAUUAUGGAGAGUACAGUUAUAAGAUUUAGGAUAUUUAAGCCUCUGCCUCAUCACUUCUGACCUGUUACAGCUCUAAAACUACUAAUUCUUCUAAAUACUCUAAAUUAUGUCAUAAUUUCAAUAAUAUGUAAUCAAAUAUGUUUUAAUGGUGAUAUUACAAAGCCUCCAAAGUCCCAGAAUGUUUUGUUAAUUUUAUGUUAAGAACACAAGAUCCAAGGAUCUGAAACAAAACAACAACAUGUGCACAUUAGAUUUUAAAAUGAUAUAAAAUAAUCUGUCAGGAUAUUUACAACCCCUCAAAUUGACCAUGUAGAGCCACUGCCUUCCAUCUUCUAUCAUCAGUAAUAAUCUGGCUCUACAGGCAGAUGUGUCUUUUACUGUUCAAGCUGUUGCUUUCCCCUCCUUGUUCUUCCGUAUCCUGCCCUCACUGUUUGCCCUGUCAGUAGCUGUCUAUCAGUGCACUUAUAUCUCAGUAUACUGGGGCCAAUAGUUAAAAGACAACCUGUACAGCAUCCAUUUUAGAGCCUGAAUGAAGAGAUUCAGUUGCUGCUGGAUAAUCAUGUGGUUAGAGGAAACAAAAAUCGUCAGAAGAUGAAACCUCCCCUUCACCCAUUUAUUCUGUGCAACAAACAAAACAAUUAAAUCAAGAAAAAUGUCUUCAAGUCCUUAGAGAAUCAGAUGUGAGUCUUUUAGGAACUUUAUUGUGACUUACAUCCAGAGAGUGUCACUCAAAUAAUCUAUAAACUACCUCCGCUCUCAUCCUAGAAUGAACCAGAGAGCCUGCAGGACUAUGAAAACAUUAGUGAUGCAGCUGCACGUGCACCAAUAUCUCCAACUCUAUUUGACGACCACACCAGUGAAGGUGAAGUGGAGCUGAACUUUCCACAGGUGAGAUUCACAGCGACGCCCCGACGUCAGACGACCAACAGAGACUCCAGCAGCUCACACCAAGAUGAGAGUUAAUACUCUGACGUCAGGAUUUGACCUGAGAUGUUCUCGUCCUGCUUUUUACAGCUACCUCGGGCCUGAGGAAGUUUAUAUUCACAAUAAGUCAUCACAGAGAGUCUGAAGAGUUCAUGUGUUAAAUCGUGUCGCCAUUUGGAGCAUUUUAAAACUAGUUAGAAAGAAGGCAUAGAAGUUACAUUACUGAGCUUAAAUAUAAUAUAUCAAUAUUUAAAACUGUUAAUUAAAGGUUCUGGAGAAAAUAGUGAACAAAGCUAAAUGUGAGGGAUAAACGGUUAAAAUCCUUAUUUUGCAACUUAAAAUGUAAAAUUAUUGUAUUCAUAACUUUUUAUAUAAUCUAUAUAUAUAAAUGAAAUGCAGUUAGAUAAGAAACGCUGAGAAUCACUGCUGAAUGUUUUUUUUGUGCUUUCCAGUGUUGUGAACUUAAUCCAAACCCACACACCUGAAAUGUAAAUAUCCUGUUGCUCAAAAUAAAAUGAAAUAUGUUUGAACAAAUGA